rnacentral:rRNA from 1 species
AGAAUCAACGCUGGCGGCGUGCCUAACACAUGCAAGUCGAACGAGAAAGUGGAGCAAUCCAUGAGUAAAGUGGCGACCGGGUGAGUAACACGUGACUAACCUACCUUCGAGUGGGGGAUAACCUCGGGAAACCGAGGCUAAUACCGCAUAACACCGCAAGAUCAAAGCAGCAAUGCGCUGGAAGAGGGGGUCGCGGCUGAUUAGCUAGUUGGCGGGGUAACGGCCCACCAAGGCGAAGAUCGGUA